rnacentral:rRNA from 1 species
UACGAGGGGAGCAAGCGUUAUCCGCAAUGACUGGGCGUAAAGGGCACGUAGGUUGCAUACAUCAGAGAUCUCCUAAAAGGUUGUGCUCAUAGCAUAAAUAUGGAGUCAACUGGUAUUCUCGAGUAGUGCUCAAGUUUAUAGACUGCUUUCUGAAGGGGUAAAAUCCGGAUAUAGAAAGAAAGAUGCCAUAUGUGGUGAAGGCGAUAUUCUAGAGCUUACUGACGCUGAGGUGCGAAAGUAUGGGGAGCAAAUAGG